rnacentral:lncRNA from 1 species
UCGUGGGCAUCAACUCUCUGCCUGAUACAUUUAGCGGUUGUUGCCACCUUCAAGUCUGUAGCUGGACACCUAAAUCUCUCUGCUUGCAACAACAAAAGAUUGAUUGAUUAGCACAGGUAUACUUAUCUACUUUUACUAUCUAUUUAAGAUAUAUUAAUAUAAUCUAUGUUGUAUGUUCCAAAAAUAAUAAUCUACUAUUUUUUGAGUUGCAAGUUGCAAUUAAACCUCAAUUGCUUAACAGUUUCUCAAUUAUUAUUAUUUUGUGUUAGGAUCUAAUAAGAUUGGUUACGAAUAUGUGCAUGUUUUCAAGUAGUAUUUUGGCUGUUUUUGAACUCUCCUUGUUUCUAAAGAGUAAUCUAUUUUCUGUCUUUAACUAAACAUCACAUAUCCAUUAUACUCAGUUUGACAACCUUCUCCACUGAAUUUAGUUGAAUCUAAUUACUUGAAAGGAUUUGGAACCCCUUCAUGCUUAGCGUAAGGCUAGUACAGGAGCUUCAGGUCAGCUAGAGGAACAAGGAAACAUGCAAAAUCACUUCCCUGCAAGAAAAAAUUAGGGUCAGUAUAUACAGUUUGAAUGGGAUGUGUUGCAUGCUUAGGAGUUGGCAACAGGCACCACAUAUAUUAGUAAAGAGAGCAUGACAGAAAGUAGUGCAGUCAUAUUUCAAUUAUACAUUAAAUAAUAUAAACUCAUUUAUUUCUAUAUGUUCUCUUUAGCUAGCUUAUCUAUAUUGCAUUUUGUAGUUCGCGUACUUUUGCACCUAUACUGCUGCUAGCUGGCUCCUAAUCGAGUCAUCAAUUGAUUUGUAGUGUUCAGGUGGUGACACAAAGGGAUCAGCGAGGCAGUGCAGCGUGUGCUGUAGGAUCAUCAUCAUCUUGAUCAUUUCAUUGCCCGUGGUAUAUAUAUACACACACUUCUCAUCAUGCUACACAUAGUUACCGUAUGAUAUACACAUAUAUAUGUGAAUUGUAAUUACAUAUAUAUCUCUUUUGAUCCUGCAGAUCUUUUCAAAAGCAUAUAAUGUCAGGUAGGAGUUGGAUGCCGAUGGACAGGUAUUGUCCUGUUUGGCAAGAGAAUUUCCAGAAAUUUCUUCAAACUACAUUUGAUGGCAGUACAUCAACUGCUUUGUGUCUGUGUUCUAGAUGUCGAUGCACGAUAUACAAAUCACGAGGUGAACUUCACCGACAUGUUCUUGCUUUUCGGUUUGAUGAAAGUUUCAUCUCUGAAUGGGAAGAUGGUCCAAGUGAUGAAGGCGGCCCAUCUAAUUUUGAAGAAUCAGUAGACAAUGAUGAAGGAGGUAAUGAUGUUGAUCGUGGAACUGAGCUGAUUGGAACUCUAAUCAAGUCUACCAUACGUGGAAACUUCAUCCAAGGUCCAGAUGAACAGCCAAAUGAGCGUGCCAAGAAGUUCUAUAAAUUACUAGAGGAUGCAAGACAAGAAUUGUAUCC